rnacentral:rRNA from 1 species
UUAUUGGAGAGUUUGAUCCUGGCUCAGGACGAACGCUGGCGGCGUGCCUAAUACAUGCAAGUCGAGCGAAUCUGAGGGAGCUUGCUCCCAAAGAUUAGCGGCGGACGGGUGAGUAACACGUGGGCAACCUGCCUGUAAGACUGGGAUAACUUCGGGAAACCGGAGCUAAUACCGGAUAAUCCCUUUCCUCACAUGAGGAAAGGCUGAAAGACGGCGUCUAGCUGUCACUUACAGAUGGGCCCGCGGCGCAUUAGCUAGUUGGUGAGGUAACGGCUCACCAAGGCCACGAUGCGUAGCCGACCUGAGAGGGUGAUCGGCCACACUGGGACUGAGACACGGCCCAGACUCCUACGGGAGGCAGCAG